rnacentral:rRNA from 1 species
UAGGGAAUAUUGGGCAAUGGGGGCAACCCUGACCCAGCCAUGCCGCGUGCGGGAAGAAGGCCCUCUGGGUUGUAAACCGCUUUUGGGAGGGGACAAAAUACGGGUGCGCCCGGGAUUGAGUGUACCUCCAGAAUAAGCACCGGCUAACUCCGUGCCAGCAGCCGCGGUAAUACGGAGGGUGCGAGCGUUGUCCGGAUUUAUUGGGUUUAAAGGGUGCGUAGGCGGCCCGUUAAGUCUUCGGUGAAACCCCCGGGCUCAACCCGGGGAGUGCCGGCGAUACUGGCGGGCUUGGAUCUCCUCUGGGCGGGCGGAAUGGAAGGUGUAGCGGUGAAAUGCAUAGAUAUCUACCAGAACGCCGAUAGCGAAGGCAGCUCGCUGGGGGACGAUCGACGCUGAGGCA